rnacentral:rRNA from 1 species
AUGACCACCUCCAAGCCGUCACCACGGCUUGCUCAGAACAUGCCCACCACGGCUUGCUUAGAACAUGCCCCUCUGUUCCUACAGGGUGAAGCGGAGGAAAGAAGAAAGCGUUCUUUCAAGUUUGAGGAGUUCUGGCUUCGGCUCCCAGGUUCCAUGAGACUAUGGCCUCGGCAUGGAAUAAGCCUAUCCUUGAUCGGACACCAUUCGUCGCAUUCACAUCAAGCUAUGGCGCACGGCGAAGGCACUCAAGGCAUGGCAGCGCCAGAGCGUGAGAGUUCUCAAGACUCAGAUUGUGAUUGUGAAGGAGGUGAUUUGGCGCCUGGAUCAGGUGGAGGAGAAUAG